UCCCUGGUGGUCUAGUGGUUAGGGCUUAGCACUUUCUCUGCUGCUACCUGGGUUCAAUCCCUGGUCUGGGAG
rnacentral:tRNA from 1 species